UGGGUAAAAUGGAGGUGACAGAAGAGAGUGAGCACACAUGGUGUUUUUCUUGCAUGAUUAAUUCCCACAUGCUUGAAGCUAUGGGUGCUCACCCUCUCUCUGUCACCCCGCCCU
rnacentral:pre_miRNA from 1 species